rnacentral:rRNA from 1 species
GACGGAAGGUGCAAGCGUUGCUCGGAAUCACUGGGCGUAAAGGGUGCGUAGGCGGCCUGGUAAGUCUGGCGUGAAAGCCCAGGGCUCAGCCCUGGAAGUGCGAUAGAAACUGCGAGGCUCGAGUGCCGGAGGGGAGAGUGGAAUUCCUGGUGUAGCGGUGAAAUGCGUAGAUAUCAGGAGGAAUACCGGUGGCGAAAGCGACUCUCUGGACGGCAACUGACGCUGAGGCACGAAAGCGUGGGGAGCAAACAGG